UAUUCAGUACUCAAUUAGUUUCUUUGUAAUGUUGCAUGAAGACAUCUUUUCCACAACUGUACUCACCACAAUAAGGAUAAGAUGAAGAUGAGUGAGAGACCAUCAUCAAGGCAAGAAUCUUUUCUUUAGUGGAAACCCAAUGGCUACAGAGUACCACACGCAUUACUUCCUUAACUGACUCUCCACCAGAUGCUUGCAAUUAGAAAAAAGAGGGAUCUAACGCUCAGAAGGAUUGAUAAAUCCACGUCUCUGUCGCCGAGACACUUCUUCCACUGCACAUCCUGCCUCCGGAGAACGAAUUGCGGAUUGAGGGGGGUGGAACUAGUCUAAAGGAAGGGAGGCAUCGUGCUUCAUUCGUAGCCUUUCCGCGUGGAGGUGGGAGGUUUUAGAUUCAGAGACGGUUUGAUGGAAGAGACUCGGGAGAGCACCACGCACUGCUCCCGCAUUUGCUGGUGAGGAAAUGGGCAACCGAACCUGGAGGGUAUAUCAGUGCCGGGGAAGCAGAGCAAAGACGACCCCGGUUAUCCGUAUUUACAAAUUCUGAAAUGUUUUAAAAAGAAAAACAGAGUAAACAUUCAUGUGCCCUCUCUCCAGAAUGAA